UCUCCAUCCACUUCUUCUAUUCAUCCUUGAGAAUGUAAGACUGUUUCUUUGUUUUACUGCAUUUUCUUUACAAUUUUAUGUUAAUUAUACAAAUUGGAACUUGAUUGUUUGACUUAAAGCUUAUGUUAACCUGUUACUUUGUUUUUGUUGACACAGAAACCAUGGUUUGGAUGGAAAAUAAAACCUCAAAAGUGCUUCAAUUGUCAUCGGCUCUUUAAUUUGAGACACUUUAGGUGGUCAGCUCUUUAACAAGAACCUAACAAGUUUUAAUAGUCACUCAGGACUGAUUUUUUGAUUUUCAUUAGGGGAAUCUGGUCAGCCCUUUACUUUUUCUGUGUUCAGUUGGAUUUUUACCUCAGUGUUCACACUUUAAUGUUUAUUAUUUUAUAUUUUUAUCCUUAUUUGUGGUACAGACCAAAGAUAAGGUCAUUUUAUUUAUUGUAUUUUGCUACUAUUGUUUUUACAAACUUAACUGCGGGUUACGCUCACUACUGUUUAGUAGUAGUGAUAGUACUUCUCUGAGGCUGCUCCCUUCCCCCAGGUGCGCUGAGGGUGAUUGGACACACCUGUCUCUGCUCUGCAAUCAAGCCUGCAGAGACUUACCUCAGCUCCACAGUAUUGCCAGCUACUCACCAGUGUGCCUCUCUCCAUGCCUCACCACAGCCCAGCCACAGCACUCUCACUCCGGAGCCCUCACUACCCCCUAAAAGUGCAACCCCCUCCCUUUAUUGAAAUUGUUAACCAAUAAAAACCAAUAAUCUGU